rnacentral:lncRNA from 1 species
GGCAUGCUUAGCAUGUGUGAGGCCCUGGGUUCCAUCCCCAGCACCACCCCAAAUUAUUAUACUUACUGCCAUUUUGUUUUAGUUAGCUUUCUUCCCUGCUGUGACUAAAGGACCCAUCCCAAACAGCUGUAGAGGAGGAAAAGCUUAUUUGGAGGCUUAUGGUCUCAGAGGUCUCAAUCCUCAUAAUCAAGGCGAGAAAGAAUGUCGGGGCAGAAGAGUGUGGCAGAGGGAAGCAGCUCACAUGGUGAUCAGGAGAUGGAGACUCCACUCAUCAGACAGGAAUAUGCGCCCCAAAGCCACGACCUGAAUCCCACCUCCUCCAGCCACUCCCCUCCACUUCAGUUACCACCCGGUUAUUCCAUAUCAGGGGGUGAAUCCACUGAUUCGGUUCAGCUAAAUCAUUUCUGCUCUGAACCCUUUGCACUGUCUACACCUGAGCCUUUGGGGGACGCCUCACAUCCGCCCCAUGACACAUUCAUGCCAGGGUCUAUGUACUUGACCUUUCCUGUCCCCUCAGUCCUUACAAUCGCCCAUGUCUGUUUGAUAGGUGUGGAAACAGGCCGCAGAACUUGACAGGUGGUUCCCAGAGUGUCCACAUGCUGGGAUGUGAGCUCCAGUGGUUGGGCUUGAAUGCUGACCCGUUGCCUCUGUUGCCUCUGUGGGCAGUCACUCCGCGACCACCCGAGGUCUUGAGGUCUCGCUUAGGCCAAGCCUCUGCUCCACAGGCUGGGAGGAGAGAGAGGAAUCGUCUCCACACCCACAGGGAAGCCCAGUGGGGAACCUUCAUGAAGUCCCUGUACUUGGAAAAUUCCCUCCUUUACAUAGCAGCGGACUUCUGCAAUGUUGUAUUUGUUAACAAAUUUCACAGAAUCUCUUGUAUUGGAGGAGUCUGCAAGAGUUCCCUAAUCUUACCCUCCAGGGAAUACAGAAAUCUCUGGGGACCACCUGCCUCAGCCCUCACACGUCAGUCAUAGAGCACAAUUAAGAGCUUGGAUGCUGGAGCCAGCCUACUUGAGUUUGAGUUCUGGAUGUACCACUUGCUGCUGUGUGUCGUCAGGCAUGUGCUUUGACCUCUCUGAGCCCAAUCUUCAUCUGUAAAGUAGGCAUAACUCCUACCUCUUAAGGUUUUUGCAAGUGAGGUAAUAUGUGCCAGACAUUGAACACUGUUCUGGUGCAUGAUAAGAUCUGAUAAAUGUUGGUUAUUGUUUUCAUCCUUAGAGGUGGGCAUAUCUCGCCACCCCAGUGAAACAGUAAGUCCUUGUCUUCCAUCUCCCUUGGCUUCUGCCACACAGGGCACCCGGCCCAGAGCAGAUGACGGUUAGUCACUGUGUUCCCUGCCUUGGAGGCUGGGAGCCUGACACUGCUCUGUGCCCAGGUUCCCUGGAAACCUGAUUCACUCCUUGGCAGCCCCUUUCACAACAAGCACAGUGGGUCUGUCCCCCUGUCGUGGCAGUCACCCCCAGCCCUGCCAUUGACGGGCCCUGAAGAAAUCUCCAAGAAGAAAGCGCAUGAUAAGCAGGGGGCAAGGGUUUCACCCUCCAGCCCAUGACUUUGGUUGUUGACCCCAUUUCAAAAUGACUAGUGGCCUUUGAAUUGUCCGAUGGCCCAGUAUAGGGUCACAGGAAUUCAUUUGGCUGCUCUUGGACUAACGUGACCAAAAAAAAAAAAGUGUGGAAGCCUUUUGUCUCACACUGUUCCCCUCUGCAGACCUUGUGAGGUGCUCUAGGGGUGUUGAAGGUUAGGGCCCUUCAUUAAAGACGAACCAAGCCUUCAGCAGUGUCAAGGAUCCUGAACCCAGGCUUUGAGAUACUAGGUUUGAAGCCUGGCUCUGCUUUUUGCUAGCUGUGACCCUGAACUUCAUGACUUGGGUUGUUUUUUCAAGUCAGUUUCCUUAUCUGUAAAAUGGGAACAUCACUGAUUUCCUAGGAAGGUUGGUUGUAAGGACUCGCUGCAGUUCCUGGCCCGGAGCCCAGUGCUCAGCUGUGACCAGUGCUCUGUGACCAGUGCUGUUGUCAUGCAGGGAGGGAGCAGCCUGGGCCAGGGGUGGAGCAUGGGACCAGCAGGGUCUGAGUUCCAGCUGUUGGGAGGCCGUGUUCACCUUGAGCAAGUCGCCACCCCCCCAGGCUGGAGCUUCAACUGUGAAAUGAAUGAUCUGCCUGAAGUCACUGGGUGCUUCCCAGCUGCUGAGCUCUGUGACCCUGAAGGUCCUAAAAAAGAAAAGGAGAGGAAAAAGGAUCGGCACCAGAUUCCAAGGUCCCGUUUCAUGACCCCAGCGCCUGGACGCCAUCUUCACACACCGCUCUGCUCAGGACUUCCUGGGCUAAGUGAGCUGUGUGCAAGGCCCAGGGGCGGCCUGAGGCUGGAGAGCAGGGCCUGCACCAGGCAGCCAGGCCCCAGCCUCAGAGCAGGGACUGCCCUGCCUGGUGCCUUGGGCAAGAGUCCUCCUGCUUCCCCAGAAUGGAUGAGUUUACGGCAGCUGAGAGCUCUGCUGUAAACAGGCCACACCUGGGAAAGGGGCACUUUCUCUUCAGGGGGCCCAGUGACCUCUGACAUGCCCUCCUCGCCCUCCUGGCAGUCCAGUCACGCCCAGCAGGAGACAAACCUGGGAAUGAAGGGGGCAUUCAGCAUCCCUGGGAGGUCCCUCCUCCUGGCUCUCCCACCUGAGGGGGUGGGAUUCACAGGAAAUAAAAAACAAACAACAAUAACAACAAGCCCCCAAAACCAAGCCCAGCCAGUUGGCUUCAACUUGUUCUACCAGUUUUCACCCCUUCUGUAAAAAGCUCAUUUAACCAUUUUAAUGCUACAGAUUUCCCCUUAGAGUCACAACGGCCUUUAGAGGAAUUCAGUCACAUUAACAAACACGAGUGCCUGUGACACCUCAGUGACAACACUGUGGCAGUUGUCAUGAUGUUGCUGGCUUAACCUUGGGGGGUCCCAGUGAUGAUUUUCAUUUUUCAGGGGGCAAACUGAGCCAAGAGAAGUAAAGGGACUUCUUUGGGUGACAGGGCUGGGGUUUGGGCCCAGGUCCCUGGUUCCCAGACCUCCUGGGCAGCCUGGACGAGGUCACAUGCAGCCCUGCUGGUGAGGCUCUGCCCCCAGCCAAGUGCGCGGAUCUGUCUGCCUCUGCGCCUGGGAGACCCAGGUGACCCCCUUCUAGUCCUUUGGCAGCACAGCCUCAAGAGGUGACUUGUCUGAGCUCCUCGUCAGAGGACAGAGCCCAGUGCCCCAUGCUUCUGUCUGUGGGAGAGAGAAGGGCUUUGGGCCUAGACUGUUGCUUCCUGUCGCUGUCCCGCCCAGUGGCCAGUAAGCAGGACUCCCCAUGGUCCUCCUCAGGCCAGCUCGGCCUGCGCUGGGCCAGCCUUCCUGGGAACGUUGCUUCCCGCUCCUGGACGUGAAUCCCUUCCAAGCUAGUCACCCGGAGGGAGGCACGGAGCCCAGACUCCAGGCCGCAGGCACUCUGAGGGCAGAACACGGGGAAGCCGAGGAGCCAGGCGCAGUGAAGCCUCCGGAAGGCCUGCGGCCAGGAAGCCUGUUGUGUGUGUUCACCCAACACUUUCCAAACUGAGGUGGCCACAAUUUCAUUCUCCAUGUCCCCUCCCAGUGCCCAUCAUAACCCAAGAAGCAGUGACAUAGUCAAGGAAAAGAGGUCACGUUUGAUGACUUAUAGAAACGGUCGAGCUUCCAGGAUUCGGGCCUGGGGAGAGAACGCCUCGGACAGGGUGGAGCCUGCUUUUAUUUUCUUCCUGGUUCUGGGACCUAAAGCCUGGGCUGGAGCAUGAUGGACAAACCCCAGGCCAGAGCCCAGUGCCAGAGAAGUUGCUUUUUGGGUGAAUGAAUGGACAGACAACAUGUCGAGUAGGCAUUCGUGGUAGACAGACGCACGGGGGGACACACCAGCAACCAGGUGACUGACCCCUGGCCUCCAGGCUCUUCCUGAGCUGUGUGCUGGUUCCUCGUGUGGCCACCCGUGUCCCAUCUCCCCUCCGGCCACCCUGGCAGCCACCCUGCCCCACCCCUCAGGAUGAAGCCCAUGAAGCUGCAGCCCACCUACUGUGCCUCCUGCUUUCUCCCUCCUCCCUACGGGGUCCCCUCCUCUGGUCACUCCUGUCCCCAGAUACACAUUUAGCUCAACUGUCUCCCUUCCUGCCCCACCCCUCAAUCUGUCCCCUCUGCCCGACCCCCUCUGCCUUCUCUGGUGAUCAUUUGAUCCUCACGGUGCUUUCAGGCCCUUGGGUCCAGCAGCUGUGUUAAAUGGAGGGAGCGACACCAGAGGACAUCCGAACGACCCCUGUGUGUGAAGGUCAAGAGAAGACGAAACUCACCUGUGGGGAACAUCAGAACUGGUGGCCUAAGGGAGUGGGG